rnacentral:lncRNA from 10 species
CUAAGCUCACUGCAACCUCCACUUCCCGGGUUCAAGUGAUUCUCCAGCCUCAGCCUCGUGAGUAGCUGGGACUACAGGCAUGCGUCACCUUUCCCAGGGAAUAGAAACGCACUGUUUCUAAGAAUGCUGUUAGAUUAGCCACUAAAGAAGAAAUGGUGUUCAUUUAAAACAAAAGAAAAGAAAAGGAAAAAAGAGAGCUCUGAAAGAAAGCUUGCUCUGUCUAUGUACAACAACUACCCGGAGGCUUGUGAAACAACAGCGGAAACCUUCUUAGGGCCAUUCAAUGGGAAUGCCAUUGAGGAGAAUUCCCUCUUACAAUGGCUCAUUGUGCUCCCAGGCUCCUUUCAGAUCUACUGCGGCAGUCAUAGUCUUGCACCUAUUGUCAGAUUACUGGAGCAAUCCCUGUUGACAGUGGCUCCUCAUUUGCAUGUAGCAUGUGCAGACCAGCAUUCAACUUCAGCCAAGAUUACUCUUCCUCACCAACCCCAGAGAGACCUAUCCAGCUGAAAACACUGGGAAAAUGACUGCAGCAUCCCUGAGUGGACAGCUCCUAGCAAACAGGCAACAAGACUGUCCCCACUUCACAUGUUUUGACAUGAGAGGAAACCCUUGCAUUCAACAAGAGAGGUACAGGAUUUUCUCUUCCAGGUACAGAAUGAAGACAAGAUGAGAUCAAUCAUUCCUCCACCUACCCUGAGACAUGUGCAUAAUUGAGUCUUUAUUUACUCCCUUUUUCUUCAGGCAUUCACCUUACCUUAUAUAAAAUAUAGAUUUACUGAGCACUAACUAAAGUCUCGCAAAAAUGUAACCAUUUGCUUUACACGUGCCC